UAGGGAAUCUUCCGCAAUGGACGCAAGUCUGACGGAGCAACGCCGCGUGAGUGAAGAAGGAUUUCGGUUCGUAAAACUCUGUUGUUAGAGAAGAACAGCGCAUAGAGUAACUGUUAUGCGUGUGACGUUAUCUAACCAGAAAGCCACGGCUAACUACGUGCCAGCAGCCGCGGUAAUACGUAGGUGGCAAGCGUUUUCCGGAUUUAUUGGGCGUAAAGCGAGGGCAGGCGGUCAAUUAAGUCUGAUGUGAAAGCCCCCGGCUCAACCGGGGAGGGUCAUUGGAAACUGGUUGAAUUGAGUGCAGAAGAGGAGAGUGGAAUUCCAUGUGUAGCGGUGAAAUGCGUAGAUAUAUGGAGGAACACCAGUGGCGAAGGCGACUCUCUGGUCUGUAACUGACGCUGAGGCUCGAAAGCGUGGGUAGCAAACAGG
rnacentral:rRNA from 1 species